UAUACUUGUUGGUGAAUUUAACAAGUAAACUUUUAUGAUUAUCAAUAUGGUUAUUGUUUAUUAGUGAUCCAAAAUCAUAAAAUAAUGGAUUAAUGGAUUGAUAGAAUAAUGAAUUAAUGAAUUAAUAGAAUAAGAUAUUAAAAUAUUCUCAGGAUAAUGAAUUAAUAUAUUGACAGAAUGAUAUAAGGUACAUAUAUUUAAUUAACGGAUGUACAGAAUAAUCGAUUAACAGAUCCACAAAAUAAUGUAUUAAUAUAUUCAUAAAACAAUGGAUUUAUAAGAUUCAUAAGAAUAAGAAUAAUGGGUUAACGGCUUCUCAAAUUAACGGAUAAACGUGUCAAUAGCUGUGUGAGCCAUCGGCUGGAUUUUCCAUUCAAAUCAUUGUGAUUGUUUCAUAUAAAAUGAAAUAUGAAUCAUGCAGCGUUGUGACUUACAAGGGAGCAUAUAGGAUAAUCUAUUCCAUUCCGUGAGAAGAUCUACUUAGUAAAGAUUUCGGAGACAUAAUUUAUUCUGUUCUGUGUCAAAAAUUGGCACUGGUAUCACUCAUCUGCACUUAUUCUGUUAGUUUCUUUCUUAAUAUUUUUUUGUUCAUAUUGUAUGCAGUCACUUUUUGAGUAAACUUUCUAUUUUUU